UACGAAGGGGGCUAGCGUUGUUCGGAAUCACUGGGCGUAAAGGGCGCGUAGGCGGCUUGACAAGUCCCGGGUGAAAUCCCUCGGCUCAACCGAGGAACUGCCUUGGAAACUGUCUGGCUUGAGCCGGGAGAGGGUAGUGGAAUUCCCAGUGUAGCGGUGAAAUGCGUAGAUACUGGGAGGAACACCGGUGGCGAAGGCGGCUACCUGGACCGGUUCUGACGCUGAGGCGCGAAAGCGUGGGUAGCAAACAGG
rnacentral:rRNA from 1 species